UACAGAGGUCCCAAGCGUUGUUCGGAUUUACUGGGCGUAAAGGGUGCGUAGGUGGCGAGGUAAGUUUGAUGUGAAAUCUCCGAGCUCAACUCGGAAAUGGCAUUGAAUACUAUCCCGCUUGAGGGUCGGAGGGGAGACUGGAAUUCUCGGUGUAGCAGUGAAAUGCGUAGAUAUCAAGAGGAACACCUGAGGUGAAGACGGGUUGCUGGGCCGACACUGACGCUGGAGCGCGAAAGCCAGGGGAGCAAACGGG
rnacentral:rRNA from 1 species